UGGCCAGGCUGGUCUUGAACUCUUGACCUCGUGAUCCACCCACCUCAGCCUCCCAAAGUGCUGGGAUUACAGGUGUGAGCCACCACACCCGGCCCUGGUUUCCUUUUUCCUUCUCUUACAUGGAUGAUGUGAACUCUUUCUACAGGACAUGGAUGUGUGUUCUCUUGUCAUAAAGAUAAACAUAAGGGAAUGAUUCCUCUAAUAAACUGAUGACAAGGUCUGAGUGGCCCCAUAAGCCAGGAGUGACCCCAGACAGCUGUUCUGUUCUCCACUAUGAGAAAGAAGGGCUUAAUAGCUAUUUCUCUAACAUUAAAUUCUAAAACUAAAACAGUUAUUUGCACAUGGGUCCUCCAAAAUUUAAUUAGUUUAUGUCCAACAAUUCCAAACUAGAUUUAACUAUUUAGGAGAAUAUUUUAAAACUAGGGUUUCUAAGCAGAUUUACAGGAAAAGCUAAUGUUGCUUAAAACUGGUUAAUUCAUAGGAGCAUUACAAACAAUUGUUUAUGGCUGUCAAGGGUUGUUCAAGAUCGUUUUGAAAGCUUUACAAGCAAAAAACAAUUCAGAUGAGCACUAGAGUUGUAAAGCAGAUCUAACAUUCUUUUAUGCAAAAAGAUUAGGCUUUGCCCUCAGGGACAGCAGGGCGUCUCAGGGUGUGGCCUGAGGGUCACCACUGGGGAGUUGCCUGGGAAGCUUGUCAAAGCACAGAUCCACACAGCUCUGGAUGGCAACCAGAAUCUUAGCAGACAGGGACCGGGCAUCUUUUCACAAAUUCCUCAGAGAUUCUCUGUGCCCAGCAAAGUUUGAGAACUGCUCCAAGGAAAUGCAAGGCUUUCUCUGUACUUCCUCUCAGCCCCCUAAAACCUAUCCCUUAAGGAAGAAGAGCCUGAUAUGAAUCAAGGCAAGCACUCAAUAAAUAUUUGGUCAAGUACAAAAUGUACUGUGAAGGAUCUUACCUCUUCUCUUUUCCGUAUGCUGCCAAGGAGCCUGAAGCCACAUUUGAACUCAAUUAUAUAAAUUUUCUAAGCCUUCACAGCUUGUAUUUUUAAGCUCUUUUUUUCCUCACUCAAAUUUUCACUGCUAUACUCUUCCCAGUUCUAAUUUUUACCUUUUAUUUAUUCACUGCCGUUACUUUAUUUUAUGGUUUUUGUAAGCACUCUCAGACGCUCUGUGGAAUAAAAUGGGGUAUAAGUAUAUAAACACAGUUUUACACAGUUAUAAAUCAAAGUGGCCAGUAUUUGUGUUCCCGCCAUGUUCCUUCCCAUGCUAAGAUCCUGCCAUAGAGACUGAGCUGCAUUCCUUUGUUCCAGUUGUCAGCUGAGAGUCUUUAUGAAAGCACCAGCAGCCUUACUUGUGUCCUUGGAGUUCGAUGGCUGUUCCUUUUCUCCCACCGAUGUCCCACAUGAUGACAGAGUGAUCUGAACUGCCUGAGAACAACACCCGCUGGACUGGGUCCCAACAGAGAGCAGUCACCCCACCUGAGGGGACAGACACAACCAGACGUCAGUCACAAGGACAGAAGCUCUAGGAGGGCUGGAGCUGUGGCUUGUUCACCACGAGAUCACCAAAACCUAGAAUUCUGCCUGGCUUACCUACAGCAAGCACUCACACAGCACACAGUGACUGGUAUGCAGGAGGUGCUCAAUAAAUGUUUACUCAACUGAUCUGCUGCACUGAAUGACAGAGAGGAAUAGGAGGACAAUAAGCAAGAGGCAUCCAGGACAGCCUGGGAUGGGGGCUGGUGGGAAGGCUGUGCAAGACACCAAGGAUCAGAGAUGCAGUGGGGAGAGGUGCUGACGGAAAUGGCCUCUCCCUUCUGAGGGAAUUUUUCCUGCGUCUCUCUGCACAUAGGCCUUCCUGAUGAACUGUAUAGUUCUUUCUCCUAACACUUCUGGCAGCAGAGGAAGUCAACCACCUUCAGCCAGCCUGCAUUCCAGGCAGUGCAGACACCCACCUCAUACCCCAACCCACACUGGGGGCAGAGCCCAGGGCUUCAAUGCUUGUGGUUUUCCAGUGUUUCUAUUUUAAAUGACAAAAAGCAUUUCUUCCAUUUCAUUUAACUUCAUUUCAAGUUAAUCCAUCUUUCUGGUCCCUUUCAGCGUUUCAUUUUAUGCUUCUCCCUUCCUUUGAUCUCCCUAAUAUGACCUACAGAAUAAUUUCUAAAUUAAAAUGGUUAAAUUCUUAAAAAUAAAGUUUUCUAGUUAUUCUUUAGUGGGCACAGGUCUUCUAUUAAGGAUGAUGAAAAAGUUCUGGAAAUGGAUAGUGGUGAUGGCUAUACAACACUGUGAAUGUACUUUAUGUCACUGACUUGUGCAUUACCUGUACACUUAGAAGGUUGAAACGGUAAAGUUCAGGUUAUAUGUAUUUUAUCAAAAUAAAAAAUUGCCAAAAUACUUUUAAAAUAAAAGUUUUCAUAAUUAUACAAUGUAUACUAUUAUAUACUCUCAUAAAUAUCACUGUUAGUGGCUGGCUAAUAUCUCCCACGUAUAUAUCUUAUUUAAACUAUUUUUAGAUUUUUCUCAACUUUUAAGUAUAAAUUUUCCCAAGAUGAACAUUUUUACACACACAACUUUGUUCAUAUUUCCAAUUAGUUAGAAGAGAAUUCCAAACAUAGAAAUGAAUCUGAAAGUAUAAAUAUUUUUAGAAGUUUAAUAUAUAUUACCAAAAUGCUUAGGGAACUAAUUUUUUUGAUACUUUUACCACAUACCUUGCAAAAGUGAAUGAUCACGUGAAGUGUUAGAAAAUCAGGGUUGGAAACUGCUGGGUCUGUCUUUCCCAGAGUGUGAUCUGGUAACUCAGCAGAGGGAGUGUCACACCACACCCUCAAGGGUAAUAUAUGCAGGCCAACAUGAGGCUAAAGGAGACUAAGAGC